rnacentral:rRNA from 1 species
GAUGAACGCUGGCGGCGUGCCUAAUACAUGCAAGUUGAGCGAAGAGGGUUGGUACUUGUUCCUCCUGGGUGAGCAGCGGACGGGUGAGUAACGCGUGGGGAAUCUGCCUUUGAGAGGGGGACAACAUUUGGAAACGAGUGCUAAUACCGCAUAAAAAAUUUAAACACAUGGUUUAAGUUUGAAAGAUGCAAUUGCUUUACUCAAAGAAGGUACCGCGUUGUAUUAGCUAGGUGGUGAGGUAAAGGCUCACCCAGGCGAUGGUACAUAGCCGGACCGAGAGGGGGAUCCGGCACAACUGGACCGAGACAACGCUCAAGCCUCUACGGGGAGGAGCAGUAAGGAAAUCUCGGGAAUUGACGGAAGGCUUACCGGGGAACGCCGCGGUAGUGAAGAAAGUUUUCGGAUCGUUAAACCCCUGUUGUUAGGAAGAACGUUAUUUGUAAGUGAAAGCGCAUCAAGUGACGGUAACUACCCAGAAAGGGACGGCUAACUACGUG